rnacentral:rRNA from 1 species
AGAGCGAACGCUAGCGGCGGGCCUAACACAUGCAAGUCGAGCGCAUACCUUCGGGUAUGAGCGGCGGACGGGUGAGUAACACGUAGGUAAUCUGCCCUAUGGUGGGGGAUAACCCGGGGAAACCCGGGCUAAUACCGCAUAUGGCCUUCGGGUCAAAGCCUUCGGGCGCCAAAGGAUGAGCCUGCGUCGCAUUACCUAGUUGGUGGGGUAAAAGCCUACCAAGGGGACGAUGCGUAGCUGGUCUGAGAGGAUGAUCAGCCACACUGGGACUGAGACACGGCCCAGACUCCUACGGGAGGCAGCAGUGGGGAAUAUUGCGCAAAUGGGCGAAAGCCUGACGCAGCUACGCCGCGUGGGUGAGUUGAAGGUCCGUUCGGGUUGUAAACGCCCGUAGGUCGGGGAGGGACGGAAGGUUCUGACGGUACCGUCCCGAAAGAAACGCGACCCGGCUAACCUCCGUAGCCCAAGCCUAGCCCGAC